rnacentral:tRNA from 1 species
CUGAAUAGGCGGGCCUCGAUC